UACGAAGGGUGCAAGCGUUACUCGGAAUUACUGGGCGUAAAGCGUGCGUAGGUGGUUCGUUAAGUCUGAUGUGAAAGCCCUGGGCUCAACCUGGGAAUGGCAUUGGAAACUGGCGACCUAGAGUGCGGUAGAGGGUAGUGGAAUUCCCGGUGUAGCAGUGAAAUGCGUAGAUAUCGGGAGGAACACCAGUGGCGAAGGCGGCGAUCUGGGCUGAUACUGACGCUGAGGUGCGAAAGCGUGGGGAGCAAACAGG
rnacentral:rRNA from 1 species